CUCCAGCCAUUGGGCGCGGGACCCAGACGUCCCCGGCGCCCAGCCCCCCUCUCCACGCCUCUCCAGCGCGCUCCGCUCUCGGGACCGCACUUACCGGGAACUCGCCGCCCGCGGGCCGGGGCUGCCGCGCUCGCAGGGUGCUGCGGGGACCCUCCUGCUGCCGCCGCCCCCGCGUCCCUCAGGCGCGCCUGGCCCGGCGCUGAGGAUGCGGGAAGGGGGGCGCGCACCCUCUCCCCCUUCUACUCCCCCUGCCAGGGCCGCCCCCGCCGCCGCUCGGCCUCCUGGCGCGCCAGCCCCAGCGCCUCCCUAGAGCGCCCUCUCGGUCCCGGGCUGGACGCCGAGGGGGCGCGCCGCAGAUUUGGGGACCCCGAAUCUGGGGUCAAAGGGCAGUUUGACGCUCGUUUCUCCUGCGGGGCCGAAGGAGUGCCGGAAUUUCAGCUAAACCCUGGUUACAAGGACUUCAAGCCAGGACCUGAUCGGCCUGCACGCUGGGCACACUGUUCAAGAGGAAGUCUCGUCCUUCGCAGCACACAGGCAGGAUUACUCCGAAAGGA
rnacentral:lncRNA from 1 species